rnacentral:rRNA from 1 species
ACUCUGGUUGAUCCUGCCAGAUCCGACUGCUAUCCGGGUAGGACUAAGCCAUGCAAGUCGAACGGAAUCGCUUGAUUCCGUGGCAAACUGCUCAGUAACAAGUGAUCAACUUACCCUUCAGUGGAGAAUACCCUCGGGAAACUGAGGCUAAUACUCCAUAGUUGGAAUCGCCUGGAAGGGUCUUCCAUCGAAAGAUAACCCAAAUUGUAGGGCAUUCGCUGAAGGAUAGGAUCGCUCGCGAUUAUGGUUGUUGGCGAGGUAAUGGCUCACCAAGCCUUUGAUCGAUAAGGGCCGUGAGAGCGGGAGCCCUGAGAUGGGGACUGAGACAAUGCCCCAGGCCUUACGAGGCGCAGCAGGCGCGAAACCUUUACAAUGCACGCAAGUGUGAUAAGGUUACCCGGAGUGCCAAGAGAGAAACUUUUGGCUGUUAUAGGUGUGUAAAUAACCCUAUGAGAAAGGAGAGGGCAAGGCUGGUGCCAGCCGCCGCGGUAAAACCAGCUCUUCAAGUAGUCGGGAUUUUUAUUGGGCUUAAAGUGUCCGUAGCUGGUUUGGUAAGUUCUCGGUUAAAUCUGGCAGCUUAACUGUCAGCUGGCUGGGAAUACUGCCUUACUAGAGGGUGGGAAAGGUCUGAGGUACUCCAGGGGUAGCGGUGAAAUGCAAUAAUCCUUGGUGGACCACCAGUGGCGAAGGCGUCAGACUGGAACACGCCUGACAGUGAGGGACGAAAGCCAGGGGAGCGAACGGGAUUAGAUACCCCGGUAGUCCUGGCUGUAAACGAUGCGUGCUAGGUGUUGGUAGGGCUCUGAGCUGUAUCAGUGCCGUAGGGAAACUGUUAAGCGCGCCGCCUGGGAAGUACGCUCGCAAGGGUGAAACUUAAAGGAAUUGGCGGGGGAGCACCACAAGGGGUGAAGCCUGCGGUUCAAUUGGACUCAACGCCGGGAAACUUACCGGGGGCGACAGCAGAAUGAAGGUCAGACUGACGAUCUUACCAGACAAGCUGAGCGGAGGUGCAUGGCCGUCGCCAGUUCGUGCCGUGAGGUAUCCUGUUAAGUCAGGCAACGAACGAGACCCACACGGCUAGUUGCCAUCAAUGGUCUUCGGAUCAGUUGGGAACGCUAGUCGGACUGCCAUCGUACAGGUGGAGGAAGGGGUGGGCCACGGCAGGUCAGUAUGCCCCUAAUCCCCCGGGCCACACGCGGGCUGCAAUGGUAUGGACAAUGGGUUGCAACUCUGAAAAGAGAAGCCAAUCUCGAAACCAUAUCUCAGUUGGAAUUGUCGGCUGUAACUCGCCGACAUGAACGUGGAAUCCCUAGUAAUCGCGUGUCAUCAUCGCGCGGUGAAUACGUCUCUGCUCCUUGCACACACCGCCCGUCGCUCCAUCCGAGUGGGUAUUGGUUGAAACUUGGUCCUCAGGGUCAAUUUAAAACUGAUGCUCGUGAGGA